GAGACCAUGGUCUCUUCAAGCAACUUUCGCAAAUAUUGAAAAAGACAUUGAGAAGGUACAAAUCGUGAGGAAAUGUUUAAAGCUUGGUGAUGAGCUAUUGCUUUAUUCGAAGAGUAGGCAUAUUAGUGAUUAAAUGUGUUUUCUUUUGGAAUACUGUAAUGUUAAACUUUUGAACGUUGUUGUGUUUAUUUUUUACAACAGAA